rnacentral:tRNA from 1 species
GCCCCAUUGGCGCAGUUGGUUAGCGCGUCGUACUUAUAAUGCGAAGGUCGGCAGUUCGAGCCUGCCAUGGGGCA